rnacentral:rRNA from 1 species
UGGGGAAUAUUGGACAAUGGACCAAAAGUCUGAUCCAGCAAUUCUGUGUGCACGAUGAAGUUUUUCGGAAUGUAAAGUGCUUUCAGUUGGGAAGAAGAANNUGACGGUACCAACAGAAGAAGUGACGGCUAAAUACGUGCCAGCAGCCGCGGUAAUACGUAUGUCACAAGCGUUAUCCGGAUUUAUUGGGCGUAAAGCGCGUCUAGGCGGUUAANUAAGUCUGAUGUGAAAAUGCNNNNNUCAACUCCGUAUUGCGUUGGAAACUGGUUAACUAGAGUACUGGAGAGGUAAGCGGAACUACAAGUGUAGAGGUGAAAUUCGUAGAUAUUUGUAGGAAUGCCGAUGGGGAAGCCAGCUUACUGGACAGAUACUGACGCUAAAGCGCGAAAGCGUGGGUAGCAAACAGGAUUAGAUACCCUGGUAGUCCACGCUGUAAACGAUGAUUACUAGGUGUUGGGGGUCGAACCUCAGCGCCCAAGCUAACGCGAUAAGUAAUCCGCCUGGGGAGUACGUACACAAGUAUG